rnacentral:rRNA from 1 species
GGACUACUGGGGUUUCUAAUCCCGUUCGCUCCCCAUGCUGUCGUGUCUGAGCGUCGGUUGCGAGCCAGGGCGCCGCCUUCGCCUCUGGGGUUCCUCCGGAUCUCUACGCAUUUCACCACUACACCCGGAAUUCCACGCCCCUCUCUCGCACCCCAGACGGUCAGUCUGGCAUAACGCAGCCCGGUUAAGCCGGGCCAUUUCAUACACCACUUGACCGCCCGCCUGCACACCCUUUACGCCCAGUAAAUCCGGAUAACGCUCGCCACCUACGUUUUACCGCGGCGGCUGGCAC